GACGUAGGGCGCGAGCGUUGUCCGGAUUUAUUGGGCGUAAAGAGCUCGUAGGCGGCUUGUCGCGUCGACUGUGAAAUCCCGCGGCUCAACUGGGGGGUCUGCAGUCGAUACGGGCAGGCUAGAGUUCGGUAGGGGAGACUGGAAUUCCUGGUGUAGCGGUGAAAUGCGCAGAUAUCAGGAGGAACACCGGUGGCGAAGGCGGGUCUCUGGGCCGAUACUGACGCUGAGGAGCGAAAGCGUGGGGGAGCGAACAGG
rnacentral:rRNA from 1 species